rnacentral:rRNA from 1 species
AUAUUUAUAUACGGGUUAGAGCUAGGUUGGUUAGGCGUCUCAUUUGGGUUGAGGAAGUGUUAUGUUCGAAUCAUAAUGACCCGAUUUAUCUUAUCAUGUCAUAAUAAGAAUGAUAAAAUAUAUCCUAAAUAUAAUCCACACUAGUAGUGUAAAUGAUAUGGAAAGUAUUAUUUUUGUCAUUUAUUCUUUUCUCUUAGAGAAAAGAUGAUAAAAUGACAUACAAGUAUACAAAGAGAUUGUUAUGGAAUAAUACCUAUAUAUCAAAGAGAGCUAAACGUGUUUUAAUAAAUAAGCGAUACAUGCAGAUGUUAAACUCUAAUAAGAAAUUAUGUGAUAAAAAUAAACGAAGUGAAUUGAAAUAUCUUACUAACUUCAGGAAAAGAAAUCAAAAGAGAUUCUUUAAGUAAUGUGAAUGAAAUAAGAAAAGUCUUAAAGUAAAAUGGAGUGCAUAUCUGUUUGAAUAAAAGGGGAACCUUCCUCUAAGACUAAAUAUGAUAUAUAUGUGAUAGCGAAAAGUACCGUGAGGGAAAGUAUUGAAAUAGCAAUUUUAUAAGCAGCUCAAAAAAAGUUUAAAUAAACAAUAAGAGCGUACCUUUUGCAUAAUGGGUCAGCAAGUUAAUGUUUGAUGCGAGCAGUUUAGAAGUUUAGAAUUAAGAGUUACUUUACAGAUUGCGUAGAUAAAACAAUUAUGAUAUAAUGAUGUAGUAUCAAAAAUUAGACCCGAAGCUUAGUGAUCUUACCACAAUCAGGGUUAUAAAAGUCCGAACGGGUUAUCGUUGUAAAGAUAUCCGAAGAAUUGUGGUAAGUUAGUGAAAGACAAUACUGACUAAGAUAGCUGGUUUUCUGCGAAACCUAUCUAAGUAGGUAAUUUAAAUAGAAUAUCAGAAGGUACAGAAUUGUGAUCUCAUGCAACUAGUACUCAUUUUUUCUGUUAAUUUUAUUUUCUUUAGUCUUUAGUCUUUAGAAAAUAAAAUAAAAACAAAAUAAAUAAAGUGCUUUUUGCGGACAUUGGGGGGUCGUGAAGACUCUAUCAGUGAGUAUUUGUUCUCGGAAGGACUAGAUAUGAAUAUUGAAUAAUCAGACAUAGUACGAUAAGGUUGUAUGUCUAAAGGGAAACAGCCCAGAACAAGAGUUAAUAAGGUUCCAAAAUUAUUGUUAAGUGAAAUUAAGGCAGUAUUUAUCCAAAUCGGCCAGGGAAUAGGCUUAGAAGCGGCCAUUUUCUGAAGACCUCGUAACAGAGCACUGGUCUUGUUUUAAUGAUAAUAGGGAUAAAAGCACCGAAAAUUUAACGGAUCUAAACAAUAUACCGAGACCUUGUCCAAAUAUAUUAAUGUAUCUAAAUUUUACAUUGUAUAUUAGGGGUAGCGGAACAUUGGGGAAGUUUCUUAUUAUGCCUUUAUAAGGCAUAAAAUAAUUAACAACCCAAGCGAGAAUGCUGACAUGAGUAACGAUAAAGGGGAAUACCCUCGCCUAAAGCUUAUGGAAUUUAAUUAAAGUUACGGCCUCUAAGUUUAUUAUAUAUUUAAUGAAUAAUCUGUUAUUUAUUAAUAAUCCCAAAGGGGGUAAACGAUGAGCAAAUCUAAGAUUUAUAGAAAAUAUCAUUUUUACAUAGUGACAAAUGAUCUGGAAAACUGUAUAUCUCAUUUGCUAAAUAUGAAUAAACUAAAACAGAUGAUAUGUUUAGCAGAUGGUUACCGUACCUAAAUACUACCACAAGUAAGCAAGUAGAGUAUACGAAGGCGUUCGAGUGAACAAUCAUUAAGGAACUCGGCAAAUUGACUCGCGUAACUUCGGGAGAAGGUGGGCCGUCCCUUUUGAUUAAUAUCAGAUAUGGGAUAGGAGGCACAGAAUGGUGUUGUACGACUGUUUAAUUAAAACAAAGCACGCUGCAAAGAAAUAAAUUCGAAGUAUUGGGUGUGAUCUCUGCCCGAUGGCGGCUGGUUAUCGGAUUUGCUUAGUUGACUGAUAUAAGCUAGGCUUUGAAGGAACCCCCGUUCAAUGGCGGCUUUACCUAUGAGGGUCCUAAGGUAGCGGAAUACCCUGGCCGUUAAAUGCGGUCUUGCAUGAAUGAUGUAACGAUACAACAGCUGUCUCAAUGAUUGGCUCGGUGAAAUUGGAAUAACUGUGCAGAUACAGUUUACCUCUAGUUGGACGAGAAGACCCUAUGCAGCUUUACUGUUGCUAGUUACCGAAUAUGAUAUAAUGAGUUUUAGUGUAUAAGGUAGUUGGUGAGAUAUAAUUGAAACACCUUUACUUCAUUUAUCAUAUUAUAUAAACCUUACCAGGGAAUAGGUCUAGUAAUGGCCAUUUCUUAAAGAAUUCAUGUUAACACAUGAGCACUGGUUGUAACAUUUUAUAGGAACAAUUGCUAGGUGGCAGUUUAUGCGGGGCACAGAUCCCAUAAAAAGUACCUGGGAGUAUCCAAAUUCAUUUCUGUAAAAUUGCGAGAUGCAAUUAAAUAUGUACAGGCUUUUCUAAUAAGAAAAAUGCCCUACAUGUUUUUUAUUUUUAGUCUGAAGUUGGUGUUAUUUAAAUGUUUUUUUUUAUAUUUUAUUGCUAAUUCAGUUAUAUAUCCAUUUAAGUUGGAACUUUUUUUUUUUUAAGUAAGAUUUUCCCUAUUAUAAAAUAUAGAUGUAAUUAAAUUGUUAUGCCUUUGUUAUGUGCAACCAAUAAAUAACUUUAUUACCAAAUAAGUAUACAUAAGUUAAUGGGAUGUUUAUAACAAAAGGCCCACCAUCCUGAUAGAGGAGGGACAAAUAAGGAAUUAAAUAAUGAUUUUUAUUGUUUACCAGAAUAUCUCUAUUCAUCCGGGAAAAUUAUCUCUAAUUUAUAGAUAUCUGGUUAAAUGAUAUUUACUCUACUUCUCAAGUUUAACGGCUUAAUCUUGCUUUACUGUUUGACUUACACGUCUUUC